rnacentral:rRNA from 1 species
CCUACGGGAGGCAGCAGUAGGGAAUCUUCCGCAAUGGGCGAAAGCCUGACGGAGCAACGCCGCGUGAGUGAUGAAGGUCUUCGGAUCGUAAAACUCUGUUAUUAGGGAAGAACAAAUGUGUAAGUAACUAUGCACGUCUUGACGGUACCUAAUCAGAAAGCCACGGCUAACUACGUGCCAGCAGCCGCGGUAAUACGUAGGUGGCAAGCGUUAUCCGGAAUUAUUGGGCGUAAAGCGCGCGUAGGCGGUUUUUUAAAGUCUGAUGUGAAAGCCCACGGCUCAACCGUGGAGGGUCAUUGGAAACUGGAAAACUUGAGUGCAGAAGAGGAAAGUGGAAUUCCAUGUGUAGCGGUGAAAUGCGCAGAGAUAUGGAGGAACACCAGUGGCGAAGGCGACUUUCUGGUCUGUAACUGACGCUGAUGUGCGAAAGCGUGGGGAUCAAACAGGAUUAGAUACCCUGGUAGUCCACGCCGUAAACCGAUGAGUGCUAAGUGUUAGGGGGUUUUCCGGCCCCGUUAGUGCUGCNGCUACGCAUUAAGCGACGUCCGCCGUGGGGAGGUAACGGUACCGCGAGGUUAGUAAACGUUACGAAAUAGAGUUGUUACGGCGUUGAGACGUUGCCGACGGACGACCGACGAGGGGAGGUUAGG